GCUGGCGGCGUGCCUAAUACAUGCAAGUCGAGCGGACAGAUGGGAGCUUGCUCCCUGAUGUUAGCGGCGGACGGGUGAGUAACACGUGGGUAACCUGCCUGUAAGACUGGGAUAACUCCGGGAAACCGGGGCUAAUACCGGAUGCUUGUUUGAACCGCAUGGUUCAAACAUAAAAGGUGGCUUCGGCUACCACUUACAGAUGGACCCGCGGCGCAUUAGCUAGUUGGUGAGGUAAUGGCUCACCAAGGCGACGAUGCGUAGCCGACCUGAGAGGGUGAUCGGCCACACUGGGACUGAGACACGGCCCAGACUCCUACGGGAGGCAGCAGUAGGGAAUCUUCCGCAAUGGACGAAAGUCUGACGGAGCAACGCCGCGUGAGUGAUGAAGGUUUUCGGAUCGUAAAGCUCUGUUGUUAGGGAAGAACAAGUACCGUUCGAAUAGGGCGGUACCUUGA
rnacentral:rRNA from 1 species